GUUUUGGUAGCUUAACUUAAUAAAGCAUCGACCUUGUAAGUCGAAGACCGGAGGUUCAUGCCCUCCCCAAAACA
rnacentral:tRNA from 1 species